UCGAGUGGUAACCGUUAUUAUUGGGUCUAAAGGGUCUGUAGCCGGCCGGAUAAGUCUCUUGGGAAAUCCAGCAGCUCAACUGUUGGGCUUUCAGGAGAUACUGUUCGGCUCGAGGCCGGGAGAGGUGAGAGGUACUUCAGGGGUAGGGGUGAAAUCUUGUAAUCCUUGAAGGACCACCAGUGGCGAAGGCGUCUCACCAGAACGGACCUGACGGCAAGGGACGAAAGCUAGGGGCACGAACCGGAUUAGAUACCCGGGUAGUCCUAGCCGUAAACGAUACUCGCUAGGUGUCGGCCACGGUGCGACCGUUGUCGGUGCCGUAGGGAAGCCGUGAAGCGAGCCACCUGGGAAGUACGGCCGCAAGGCUGAAACUUAAAGGAAUUGGCGGGGGAGCACCACAACGGGUGGAGCUUGCGGUUUAAUUGGAUUCAACGCCGGAAAUCUUACCGGGACCGACAGCGAUAUGAAGGCCAGGCUGAAGACUUUGCCGGAUUAGCUGAGAGGUGGUGCAUGGCCGUCGUCAGUUCGUACUGUGAAGCAUCCUGUUAAGUCAGGCAACGAGCGAGACCCACGCCCACAGUUGCCA
rnacentral:rRNA from 1 species